rnacentral:rRNA from 1 species
AACGGACGCUGGCGGCAGGCUUAACACAUGCAAGUCGAACGCUCCGCAAGGAGAGUGGCAGACGGGUGAGUAACACGUGGGAACGUACCCUUUACUACGGAACAACUCCGGGAAACUGGAGCUAAUACCGUAUGUGCCCUUCGGGGGCAAGAUUUAUCGGUAAAGGAUCGGCCCGCGUUGGAUUAGCUAGUUGGUGGGGUAAAGACCUACCAAGGCGACGAUCCAUAGCUGGUCUGAGAGGAUGAUCAGCCACAUUGGGACUGAGACACGGCCCAAACUCCUACGGGAGGCAGCAGUGGGGAAUAUUGGACAAUGGGCGCAAGCCUGAUCCAGCCAUGCCGCGUGUGUGAUGAAGGCCUUAGGGUUGUAAAGCACUUUCACCGGAGAAGAUAAUGACGGUAUCCGGAGAAGAAGCCCCGGCUAACUUCGUGCCAGCCGCCGCAGUAA